UGGGGUGUAGCUCAGUUGUAGAGUCUUUGUCUAGCAUGCACAAGGCCCUAGGUUCAAUCCCCAGUACUGCAA
rnacentral:tRNA from 1 species